CAUGCAAGUCGAGCGGUAGCACAAGAGAGCUUGCUCUCUGGGUGACGAGCGGCGGACGGGUGAGUAAUGUCUGGGAAACUGCCUGAUGGAGGGGGAUAACUACUGGAAACGGUAGCUAAUACCGCAUAACGUCUUCGGACCAAAGUGGGGGACCUUCGGGCCUCACGCCAUCAGAUGUGCCCAGAUGGGAUUAGCUAGUAGGUGGGGUAAUGGCUCACCUAGGCGACGAUCCCUAGCUGGUCUGAGAGGAUGACCAGCCACACUGGAACUGAGACACGGUCCAGACUCCUACGGGAGGCAGCAGUGGGGAAUAUUGCACAAUGGGCGCAAGCCUGAUGCAGCCAUGCCGCGUGUGUGAAGAAGGCCUUCGGGUUGUAAAGCACUUUCAGCGAGGAGGAAGGGNAGUGUGUUAAUAGCACAUUNCAUUGACGUUACUCGCAGAAGAAGCACCGGCUAACUCCGUGCCAGCAGCCGCGGUAAUACGGAGGGUGCAAGCGUUAAUCGGAAUUACUGGGCGUAAAGCGCACGCAGGCGGUUUGUUAAGUCAGAUGUGAAAUCCCCGCGCUUAACGUGGGAACUGCAUUUGAAACUGGCAAGCUAGAGUCUUGUAGAGGGGGGUAGAAUUCCAGGUGUAGCGGUGAAAUGCGUAGAGAUCUGGAGGAAUACCGGUGGCGAAGGCGGCCCCCUGGACAAAGACUGACGCUCAGGUGCGAAAGCGUGGGGAGCAAACAGGAUUAGAUACCCUGGUAGUCCACGCUGUAAACGAUGUCGACUUGGAGGUUGUGCCCUUGAGGCGUGGCUUCCGGAGCUAACGCGUUAAGUCGACCGCCUGGGGAGUACGGCCGCAAGGUUAAAACUCAAAUGAAUUGACGGGGGCCCGCACAAGCGGUGGAGCAUGUGGUUUAAUUCGAUGCAACGCGAAGAACCUUACCUACUCUUGACAUCCAGAGAAUUCGCUAGAGAUAGCUUAGUGCCUUCGGGAACUCUGAGACAGGUGCUGCAUGGCUGUCGUCAGCUCGUGUUGUGAAAUGUUGGGUUAAGUCCCGCAACGAGCGCAACCCUUAUCCUUUGUUGNCAGCACGUAAUGGUGGGAACUCAAAGGAGACUGCCGGUGAUAAACCGGAGGAAGGUGGGGAUGACGUUCAAGUCAUCAUGGCCCUUACGAGUAGGGCUACACACGUGCUACAAUGGCGUAUACAAAGAGAAGCGAACUCGCGAGAGCCAGCGGACCUCAUAAAGUACGUCGUAGUCCGGAUCGGAGUCUGCAACUCGACUCCGUGAAGUCGGAAUCGCUAGUAAUCGUAGAUCAGAAUGCUACGGUGAAUACGUUCCCGGGCCUUGUACACACCGCCCGUCACACCAUGGGAGUGGGUUGCAAAAGAAGUAGGUAGCUUAACCUUCGGGAGGGCGCUUACCACUUUGUGAUUCAUGACUGGGGUGAAGUCGUAACAAGGUAACC
rnacentral:rRNA from 1 species